AGAGUUUGAUCCUGGCUCAGAAUCAACGCUGGCGGCGCGCUUAACACAUGCAAGUCGAGCGAGAAAGGAGAGCAAUCCCUGAGUAAAGCGGCGUACGGGUGAGUAACACGUGGAUGAUCUACCUUUUAGUGGGGAAUAACCCUGGGAAACCGGGGCUAAUACCGCAUAAUCCUGCGAAGGGAAAGCGCCUAUUUAAAAGAUGGGCGCGCUGAAGGAGGAGUCCGCGGCCGAUUAGCUAGUUGGUGAGGUAAAGGCUCACCAAGGCGGUGAUCGGUAGCCGGCCUGAGAGGGCACACGGCCACACUGGCACUGAAACACGGGCCAGACUCCUACGGGAGGCAGCAGUGGGGAAUCUUGCACAAUGGAGGCAACUCUGAUGCAGCGACGCCGCGUGAGCGAUGAAGCCCUUCGGGGUGUAAAGCUCUUUCGGCAGGGACGAUCAUGACGGUACCUGAAGAAGAAGCUGCGGCUAACUACGUGCCAGCAGCCGCGGUAAUACGUAGGCAGCGAGCGUUGUUCGGAAUUACUGGGCGUAAAGAGUGUGUAGGCGGUGCUCUAAGUUCGGUGUGAAAUCUCCUGGCUCAACUGGGAGGGUGCGCCGGAAACUGGAGUGCUUGAGCGUGGGAGAGGAAAGCGGAAUUCCUGGUGUAGCGGUGAAAUGCGUAGAUAUCAGGAGGAACACCUGUGGUGUAGACGGCUUUCUGGACCAUAGCUGACGCUGAGACACGAAAGCGUGGGUAGCAAACAGGAUUAGAUACCCCCGUAGUCC
rnacentral:rRNA from 1 species